AUGCUCCUGUUGCUCAUCCCAGGACUGGGUGUGAUAUUUGCCCUGAGAGAUGCUGCAGCCCAGUCAGUGACCCAGCCUGAUGUCCACAUCACAAUCUCUGAAGAAGCCUCUCUAGAGUUGAGAUGUAAUUAUUCCUAUAGUGGAACUCCUUAUCUCUUCUGGUAUGUCCACAACCCCCACGAAGGCCUCCAAGUUCUCCUUAGAUACUUUUCAGGGGACACCCUGGUUAAAGGCAUCAAAGGCUUUGAGGCUGAAUUUAGAAAGAGUGACUCUUCCUUCCACCUGAGGAAACGCCGUGUGCAUUUGAGUGAUGCGGCUGAGUACUUCUGUGCGCUGAGUGACACAGUGCCUGGGAGUGCAGGGGGAGCUGAACACAAACUUGGUGAGAUGCUAAGGAGGGUAACUGCUUGUGAAAGAGUUUGGAUUCUGAUGUAG